rnacentral:rRNA from 1 species
UCAAACGACUCUCGGCAACGGAUAUCUCGGCUCUUGCAUCGAUGAAGAACGUAGCGAAAUGCGAUACUUGGUGUGAAUUGCAGAAUCCCGUGAGCCAUCGAGUCUUUGAACGCAAGUUGCGCCCGAGGCCAUUAGGUUGAGGGCACGUCUGCCUGGGCGUCACA